rnacentral:sRNA from 1 species
UUUGGUUCUUAGGAGUGGAAACCUUGUAAUUUACUACUGUAUGUAACUAUAUUCCUAUUAGAAUUUAGAGUUAUUUAUAUAAAUAUCUGAUUUUUUUGUGUGGUUUUUAAGGUAAUGCUAUGGGCUAUGUACGAAUGAUAAGAUCUGGUGGUCUUCAUUGUAGCAGCAAUGCCAUUAGAUUUGUUCCUGAUCUUGAAGAUAUUGUAAAUUUUGAAGAACUAGUAAAAGAAGAAGGUCUUGCAGAAGAAACGUUAAAAGCAGCAAGACCCUCAACUUUGUAGAGCAUUCCAUUAGUUGCAAGGAAAAA